rnacentral:rRNA from 1 species
UCCUGGCUCAGAACGAACGCUGGCGGCGUGCCUAACACAUGCAAGUCGAACGGAGUGAAGGAGCUUGCUCUUUCAUUUAGUGGCGCACGGGUGAGUAACGCGUAGAUAAUCUGCCUUGGACUCUGGGAUAACAUCUCGAAAGGGGUGCUAAUACCGGAUAAGCCCACGAUGGCGUAAGUCAUUGCGGGAAAAGGGGGCCUCUGAAUAUGCUCCUGAUUCAAGAUGAGUCUGCGUACCAUUAGCUAGUUGGUAGGGUAAGAGCCUACCAAGGCGACGAUGGUUAGCUGGUCUGAGAGGAUGAUCAGCCACACUGGAACUGAGACACGGUCCAGACUCCUACGGGAGGCAGCAGUGGGGAAUUUUGCGCAAUGGGGGAAACCCUGACGCAGCAACGCCGCGUGAGUGAUGAAGGCUUUCGGGUCGUAAAGCUCUGUCUAGAGGGAAGAAAUGAUAGUCGGUUAAUACCCGGUUUUCUUGACGGUACCUCUGAAGGAAGCACCGGCUAACUCCGUGCCAGCAGCCGCGGUAAUACGGAGGGUGCAAGCGUUGUUCGGAUUUAUUGGGCGUAAAGCGCGUGUAGGCGGUUUGUUAAGUCUGAUGUGAAAGCCCUGGGCUCAACCUGGGAAGUGCAUUGGAAACUGGCAGACUUGAAUACGGGAGAGGGUAGUGGAAUUCCUAGUGUAGGAGUGGAAUCCGUAGAUAUUAGGAGGAACACCGGUGGCGAAAGGCGGCUACCUGGACCGAUAUUGACGCUGAGACGCGAAAGCGUGGGG